rnacentral:rRNA from 1 species
UACAGAGGGGGCAAGCGUUAUUCGGAAUUAUUGGGCGUAAAGGGCGCGUAGGCGGCUUUGCAAGUGGCGGGUGAAAUCCCUCGGCUUAACCGAGGAACUGCCUGCCAGACUGGAUGGCUCGAGACCGGGAGAGGUGAGUGGAAUUCCCAGUGUAGCGGUGAAAUGCGUAGAUAUUGGGAGGAACACCAGUGGCGAAGGCGGCUCACUGGACCGGUACUGACGCUGAGGCGCGAAAGCGUGGGGAGCAAACAGG